rnacentral:rRNA from 1 species
UACGUAGGUGACAAGCGUUGUCCGGAUUUACUGGGCGUAAAGAGCGCGCAGGCGGUCGUUCAAGUCGAGUGUGAAAGCCCCCGGCUCAACUGGGGAGGGUCACUCGAUACUGAUCGACUCGAAGGCAGGAGAGGGUAGUGGAAUUCCCGGUGUAGUGGUGAAAUGCGUAGAUAUCGGGAGGAACACCAGUGGCGAAGGCGACUACCUGCCUGUUCUGACGCUGAGGCGCGAAAGCUAGGGGAGCAAACGGG